GAUCUUUCAAGCGACGACGAAAUGUUUGAUGCAGUGGAAUGUGAUGUCACUGAUCCGGAUUAUUUGGCGAGUUUUCAUGAGAUACGAAAUGCUGCGUGGCAGACAAAACAAAAUGCAACAUCUACAUUAGAAGAAAAAACGAACUGUUUCCGAAAAAUCUCUUUUCUGCAAAAUGAUGUUAAUAAAAUGCCAUGGUAUAAUUCAGACA